GGUGCACCGCCAAACCCUCGCCCUCGUCGUGGUGGACGAGCAAAACCCACCACCCACUCCGCUCCUCCUCCUGCAAGCUUCCUCCCUCCUCGCGGCGAGGCGAGCCAUGGCGGCGCCGUUCCGUUCGUCUACUGCCGCCCCACCGACGCCCUCUCCCCGCAUCUCCUCUUAGCUCGAUCGGCUUGCUAGCUCCUCGGCCAUGUGCUCUAAUGGCGAUUUCUCGGUUUGUUCGCAGGUGAGAGCGCUCUCCUGAGGCCUGAGGGCGGCCUUCGACGGGAACCUCGGACGCCUCAAAGGUUUUAUAAAGAGCCUUGGGAUUCAGAAAGGAAAGACUUAGGGUUGCAAGCGGGUCAACCCGUGAACCCGCUUAUAGGCAAAAUUAGUAGGUAACCCGUAUAAAUGAGUUUAUGGAUCGACCCACUUGCAUCUCUAAGUGCGGCAAAUCGGACCACGACGUGAAAACACACGGGUUAUCACUUAUUUUACAUAUAAGUAGGUUUGCGAGUUGGCCCGCUUGCAUCCCUAGAUGCCGUCUUAGCUCUUAACAAGCAUGGGAUUGGGGUGCUGCACGCCGCGGCAUGCCAGGGCCAUCUGAAUGUUUGCAAGUUCUUGGUGGAGGAAUUGGGGGGUGACGUGAAUAUUGCUGGAAAAGAAGAUAUAACACCGUUUAUGGCCGCUGCUGAGUCUGGUGAUGUUCCUACGGUGGAGUAUUUUCUUGAUCAUAGUGGUGAUGUAACAAAAGCAGAUGUUAGAGGAUGCACAGUUCUCCACCAUGCUGCUGGCACAGGAUGCUGUAAGUCUAACGUAAUUGUCAAUAAUGGAGCCGGUAGUCCCCUGAUGAGUUCCCUUAUCUACCGAUCAUUGAAGUGUAUGAAGCUACUCAUAAAGGCUGGUGCUGAUGUUAAUGGCAAGGGUACAGUUGUAACCCCUUUGAUGCUUGCUGCGUCGCAAGGAGGCUAUACUAACUUCAUUCAGUUUCUUCUGAAGGCUGGAGCAAACCCUAAUAUUCCUGAUGAUUUGGGUUGGUUGCCAAUAGAGCGCUGCAUUACAUGAUUGCAGGGAAGAAGUUGAAAUGCUAUUUCCAUUGACUUCUUCAAUUCCAAAUGUCCCAAACUGGAGUGUCAAUGGAAUAUCGCUCAUGCAAAAGUCAAAUACAAAGCCAAUGGAUCAACAUCAGAAGGAGAGUAGAAAAGUCGUUUUGAAGGCACAGGCAGAUUUGCUAUUCAAGCAGAAGAAUUACGGCGCUGCAGCAAAAAUAUAUGAUCUGGCUUGCUCACGGACCGACUGCAGUUUUGUACGCAAACAGGAGCAUCUGUAGAUUGCUCAUGGGUGAUGCUGAAGGUGCUCUAUCUGAUGCUUACAAAUGCUGAAUGAUGCGGCCUAACUGGGCAAAAGCUCGCUAUCGUCAGGGUGCAGCUCACAUGCUACCCAAGGAAAGCUAGGGAAUUGAUGGCGAUACCUCCAGAUGAGCAGUGAGGCAGAAUAACUGCAUAAUCGUCCAUCAGUAAACUAUAACUAGCUGGAACUUCUUUUCUUAGCGAUGCACUAUUUUGUUGGAUAUGUGAUGAAAUGUAAAGAAUGCACUUCACGGAACUCUCACCAAUCGGCAGCCAGCGACUGUCCUCUCGUAGUCUCGUACUCACCUCUACGAUGGAAAACCAACCAUAAAUCCCUGUUAUCUAUCUGAUACUACUCACAACCCCUGAACAUUGUAUCAGUUCCAGGCAAUUAUCAGAACAUCAGGCUUAUGAAGAAGGUACAGUCAUUUUUGUUA